GACGAACGCUGGCGGCGUGCUUAACACAUGCAAGUCGAACGGAAAGGCCCUGCUUUUGUGGGGUGCUCGAGUGGCGCACGGGUGAGUAACACGUGAGUAACCUGCCCUUGACUUUGUGAUAACUUCAGGAAACUGGGGCUAAUACCGGAUAGGAGCUCCUGCUGCAUGGUGGGGGUUGGACAGUUUCGGCGGUUGGGGAUGGACUCGCGGCUUAUCAGCUUGUUGGUGGGGUAGUGGCUUACCAAGGCUUUGACGGGUAGCCGGCCUGAGAGGGUGAACGGCCACAUUGGGACUGAGAGACGGACCAGACUCCUACGGGAGGCAGCAGUGGGGAAUAUUGCACAAUGGGCGGAAGCCUGAUGCAGCAACGCCGCGUGCGGGAUGACGGCCUUCGGGUUGUAAACCGCUGUCGCCUGUGACGAAGCGUGAGUGACGGUAAUGGGUAAAGAAGCACCGGCUAACUACGUG
rnacentral:rRNA from 1 species